rnacentral:rRNA from 1 species
GAUGACGGGAGCUUGCUCCUUGAUUCAGCGGCGGACGGGUGAGUAAUGCCUAGGAAUCUGCCUGGUAGUGGGGGACAACGUUUCGAAAGGAACGCUAAUACCGCAUACGUCCUACGGGAGAAAGCAGGGGACCUUCGGGCCUUGCGCUAUCAGAUGAGCCUAGGUCGGAUUAGCUAGUUGGUGGGGUAAUGGCUCACCAAGGCGACGAUCCGUAACUGGUCUGAGAGGAUGAUCAGUCACACUGGAACUGAGACACGGUCCAGACUCCUACGGGAGGCAGCAGUGGGGAAUAUUGGACAAUGGGCGAAAGCCUGAUCCAGCCAUGCCGCGUGUGUGAAGAAGGUCUUCGGAUUGUAAAGCACUUUAAGUUGGGAGGAAGGGCAGUAAGUUAAUACCUUGCUGUUUUGACGUUACCGACAGAAUAAGCACCGGCUAACUCUGUGCCAGCAGCCGCGGUAAUACAGAGGGUGCAAGCGUUAAUCGGAAUUACUGGGCGUAAAGCGCGCGUAGGUGGUUUGUUAAGUUGGAUGUGAAAGCCCCGGGCUCAACCUGGGAACUGCAUCCAAAACUGGCAAGCUAGAGUACGGUAGAGGGUGGUGGAAUUUCCUGUGUAGCGGUGAAU